UACGUAGGGCGCAAGCGUUGUCCGGAAUUAUUGGGCGUAAAGAGCUCGUAGGCGGUCUGUCACGUCUGCCGUGAAACCCGAGGCUUAACCUCGUGGCUUGCGGUGGAUACGGGCAGACUAGAGGUAGGUAGGGGAGAACGGAAUUCCCGGUGUAGCGGUGAAAUGCGCAGGAUAUCGGGAGGAACACCGGUGGCGAAGGCGGUUCUCUGGGCCUUACCUGACGCUGAGGAGCGAAGCGUGGGAGCGAACAGG
rnacentral:rRNA from 1 species